AUACGGAGGAUCCAAGCGUUAUCCGGAAUCAUUGGGUUUAAAGGGUUCGUAGGCGGGUUUAUAAGUCAGUGGUGAAAGUUUGCGGCUCAACCGUAAAAUUGCCAUUGGUACUGUAGAUCUUGAAUUAGUGUGAAGUGAUUAGAAUAAGUAGUGUAGCGGUGAAAUGCAUAGAUAUUACUUAGAAUACCAAUUGCGAAGGCAGGUCACUAACACUAUAUUGACGCUGAGGGACGAAAGCGUGGGGAGCGAACAGGAUUAGAAACCCUAGUAGUCC
rnacentral:rRNA from 1 species